rfam:Triticum aestivum genome assembly, contig: Triticum_aestivum_CS42_TGACv1_scaffold_095373_2AL
CAGCUACUCCCUCCGUUCCGAAUUACUCAUCGCAGAAAUGGAUGUAUCUAGAUGUAUUUUAGUUCUAGAUACAUCCAUUUCUACAACGAGUAAUUCGGAACGGAGGGAGUAAUAA